UACGAAGGGGGCUAGCGUUGCUCGGAAUCACUGGGCGUAAAGGGUGCGUAGGCGGGUCUUUAAGUCAGGGGUGAAAUCCUGGAGCUCAACUCCAGAACUGCCUUUGAUACUGAAGAUCUUGAGUCCGGGAGAGGUGAGUGGAAUUCCGAGUGUAGAGGUGAAAUUCGUAGAUAUUCGGAGGAACACCAGUGGCGAAGGCGGCUCACUGGCUCGGUACUGACGCUGAGGUGCGAAAGCGUGGGGAGCAAACAGG
rnacentral:rRNA from 1 species